rnacentral:tRNA from 1 species
GGUCGGUUAGCUCAGCGGUAGAGCACUUCGUUCACACCGAAGGGGUCGUAGGUUCAAAUCCUAUACCGACCACCA